AAUUAAUGACGCACAGAUGGUCCAAAGGGUUCAUUCAGCAGGAGAACCUCAGGCCUAGCAGCCAGUGCGAGCCCUGCAGCAGGAACAUGCAGAAAGAAAUGAGGCGGGAAGAACUGGCUCAUAUGUUGCUGGAUAAUGUCUCUUGAGAAGGCCCUGGACUGCUGAGACCUCUCCAUUGCCCAGUCCAUAGUCACAGAGGCCCCAGUAUCCCCAUACCGCCAACCAAGAGCUCUCUGCAUUGCAACAGUAACUCGUGCCCCAGCGCUUGCUCCCCCUAAACUUCUUGGAAGUCUCCAUCUGACAGCCAUGUGUCUUCACACAGAGUCUGCUAUGCAGUGAGGAUUUAAUAAGUGACCAGUAAGCGAUAGGAUGAAUGUCUAUUUGUUGGAUUGUGCAGUGAGGAGGAUAAAGGUCUACAAUCUUCAUGGAUCUAAGAACCAUCUCUCAAUCAUAGUGAUAUUGUUAGCACCCUAGAGUUGUUCCUCAGUAAAUAGCGAAUAAAUGCAUUCCUCAGAGAAA